AAGAGAGAUCUGUGUGGAAGAACAGCAGUAAAAAAAACAAAAACCAAACAAAGGUCGUAUGGUACCUGUUAAACACAGACAGUGAAGUGUUCUUUAUUUAUUGAGCUGUUUCAUCAAUUCACCUCAAGUAGUCCCACAAACUACAAUUUAAUCAAACCAUUUUCCAAUAGGCCAAUCAGAGCAGCUGUUACUUUAUAAGGCCAUAUACUGUAACUCCUGUUCUGGCCCCGUUAAGCCAUCCCCAUAACUGAAACCCUGAAACAUGAAAUAUGGGAUUUGAUGAUGACGCCUUGGCCAGCUUCUAAUUAGGGAGUCUCCCAUAUGUAAGGCCAGAGGGAAUACAGUCUGGGGAUAUUUAAGGCCGGACCCUGAGGUGCGACUGCUGAGGGGACAUUGGCCAGAGCGACACGCUGUGCUCGUGUUACAGUGCUGCUGACGGGAAGCGAGGCAGAGGGGUUGGAAUGGGCUGAGGAGAGGUUUGGGAGCGGUGGGGGAGGCAUAGGUGGGAGGAGGUGUGAGGUGCGGGUUUGCAGCGCAAGCAAAGUCUUCAGCAGUGAGACACGGAGUGAAGAGUUUCUGCUGUCCUGAAACCAGACCCAGGCAAACAGUGAGGUGGAUCAGGCAGCAGAGAGGCACAGUUCAGAGUGGAAAGAGAAAAGUUUUAAUAAACCUACAAGGCGCACAAAGAGAAGAAGUACAAGAGGUGCGACAAAUUUUGUCACAUUUUAUGUUGCACCCACAGACCUCAGUGUAUUUUAUUAGGAUUUUAUGUGACAGAGCAACACAGAGAAGCGCAUAACUGUAAAAUGGAACAACAAGGUGAAGGCUUAAGUUAUUUUUCUUUCCAUUAAAACAAAAUCUGAAAA